rnacentral:rRNA from 1 species
UACGUAGGGUGCGAGCGUUGUCCGGAAUUAUUGGGCGUAAAGCGCGUGUAGGCGGCUUUGCAAGUCGGGUGUGAAAGCCCUCAGCUUAACUGAGGGAGUGCGCCCGAAACUGCUUGGCUUGAGUACCGGAGAGGAUGGCGGAAUUCCCCAAGUAGAGGUGAAAUUCGUAGAUAUGGGGAGGAACACCGGUGGCGAAGGCGGCCAUCUGGACGGAUACUGACGCUGAGACGCGAAAGCGUGGGUAGCAAACAGG